rnacentral:rRNA from 1 species
UACGGGGGGGGCAAGCGUUGUUCGGAAUUACUGGGCGUAAAGGGUUCGUAGGUGGCUCGCUAAGUCAGACGUGAAAUCCCUCAGCUUAACUGGGGAACUGCGUCUGAGACUGGCAAGCUUGAGUGCAGGAGAGGAACGCGGAAUUCCAGGUGUAGCGGUGAAAUGCGUAGAUAUCAGGAGGAACACCGGUGGCGAAGGCGGGUCUCUGGGCCGAUAUUGACGCUGAGGAGCGAAAGCGUGGGGAGCGAACAGG